GUUUUUCCUAGAGUUCCCUUGAACGCUUCAUUAAGGGUUGUAUCAUCGUAUCAAAGGAUAAUUCCAUACUGAAGUGUUUGGGGGAACUCCUGGUGAUAC
rnacentral:pre_miRNA from 1 species